UUCUCAACUUUUUUUUUUUUUUUUUUUUUCUUGUUGUUCUUCGCUUUUUUUUUCUUCUCAAUAGCAUGAACUGAGAAAUCCAAUUAAGAAGAAAUCUGGAGAAGUAAAUGGAUCAGGAAGGUGUUACUGAGGCUGUGAAUUUGGUUUUGGUUAGGGUUAUUAUUGAUUGAAGAACGAUGAAUCAGUAAGAAAUAAAAUUAAGGUUUAUGCAGUUAGUAUUGAGUUUGUGCAAAAUCGAAGGAGGGAUUGGUAGAUUGAAUAAUAAAAGGAGGAGAUGGUGGAGUUGUAUUAACUCGGGUUAUAGAGGAUAGGGUAAAUCAGAGAAAGGAAGUUAGGGCUUGGAAAUUGAUUUAAGGUUCAAUUUAGUGAUAGAUGAGAAGAUAUCAAAGACUGGGUUUGGUGGUUUGAGAAGUGAAUCGAUGUUUUGAACUCUGAUUAGAGAGAAGAAGGAAUUGGGAAUUAUUUUCAGGUUCUGAAUAUAGAUGAUGGUCAUUGAAGAUGAAAUCGAUGGUUAGUGUUCAAAGUGAUGAUUCAUAAGCUCAAUUGAGGAAAAACAAGGAAUCAAGAUCAACUAAUUCAUUCUAGGAAUUUGAUUUAAGGUUUUGAUGUGGGGCUUGAAACGAUUCCAAGAUGACUAAGAGUGUAAUCACUGAGAAGUAUGAAGAAAAUCAUGCUCCAAUGGAAGUCUUAGAAAGGGGAGAUUUAGAAGAGAAUGGUACUGAUAAUAAUCUUUCAAUCUUAGAGAUCACUAUUCGUGACCAGCUGAAUGGAGACAAGUUCUCUGAAAUCAUAUAUGGUCUGCGAAACCAGGUCAGAUUCGUGGGGGGCAUCUUCCUCAAAUUUUGGUCAAAAUAACGAGAAAAUGAGGCAUUGAAAAAUAAAAUUAAUAUGCUGAAAGAGCAUCAGGUUGAUAUGCAAAAUAAUAUGCAAGAAGAUCACAUUCAGGUUGAUGCCCUAUUGCUACUACUAGUUGGCGGGAUAUCCUCCCACAGCCAGAGCCAUAGAACUACGAUCCUGCUAUACAUAUUCAAAGUAAUUUUUUGUUUUUUAUUAGUACAAAUGAUUAUUUAGGUAAUCGUUAUUUUACUUUUUUUUUGUUGCUUUGAUUACGAAAUCCUUUCAUGAUUAUUUAGACACUUUUAAACCUUUACUUCCACCAAUUUUCUAUCUGAAUGAUAACCCUUGUAUGCACAACUCUACCGUCGGUUAUCGAUUAAAUUUUUUGCUUAUUGAGAUCUGAAUUAGAAGUAUUGGAAAACAAGCUUAAUUGUUGUAUAAAGGUUAGAGAGAAAUAAAAUGGGAGAGUAUAACUUGUAAAGAAUUCACAAGUUGCAUUGCUGAGCUCCUUAUGUAUUUGUGUAUGGGCUCUCUAACCAGUUUAUCGUCACCAUCUGCACAACCACUUCACCUGUAUUAGAGAAUGGUGCUAGUGGAUGGUUAGAUGAGACUGAAAUGGUGUUGCAGCUACAGAUGGGUGCAAAUGCACAGAAGUUGUUGUUGCAGUUGCAAGUGGUGGCUGAGUCAGGUAGUGCUUAGUAUGAUUGUGAGCUACGGGUAUUAGCACCGGUCACAAUGGCUGUGCGAAAGCUGCUCAAACUGUUAGAGCACCACAUGCUGAUCACUGUAGGCGUCAUUAUGAAGCUGGUGACAGACCAGCAAGAUUCAGUGGUGCAAUGGAAUACUUCAUGCAAUGAAAGGGGAUAUCGGGAAUUAAGACUCUAUUAGAGGUGCAAAUGGGAAACCACAUAUCAAUCAUUCUGUCACUAGAGGAUUUUGUAAACAACUACUUGCUAAUGCACUAGCUAAUUUGGAGAAUCACAAUAAGUAUGCUCUUGGUAAGAAGGAACCCAUUGUGGACAUUGAUGGAGGAGAUGUUGAUAAUCAGUUGGCAGUUGUGUACAUCGAGGAUUUGUACAAAUAUUACAAGCUUGCGGAGGAAAUAGUAGAACUUCUGUCAGCCUGUCCCGCCAUUGCUGGUUUAGGAGAAGAUAAUAAGCCCUUUAUCUGCACAAUGGAUUCAAUUGGUUCCAAAGAAUUGGAGGUGUGGGGCUUACUAUACACGAAGAACUUACUGGACAAGGAUCUUUCGAGCAAUAAUUUUUCAGGACAGGUGCCAUCUUCUAUUGCUGAUCUAGAGCAUCCGCUUACCUUGUAAGUAAAACUCCUUGCUCCGAGGAGUUGGUUCAGUUUCCUAUUAUGAACUCCUUAUAAGGCCCUGAUUUUUAUUUGUGUUGCGAAAACUAUUGUUGUAUACUUAAGAGUUCCAGACCUCGGUGUUCUAUCUCAAUUAAUUACAACAUCUAAGUAUACAGUUUAUUGUGUGUCA